rnacentral:lncRNA from 1 species
CAUGGUGCUGCAGCCUUCUUCGCAAGCUUGCUACCGACCGUUCUUCGCAAGAACAGGUUGCACCAUUACUUGUAUACCUUCAUGACCUCCACUAGAAUCUCUUUAGAAAUCUUUUCUCAAAAGAUUUCAUCAUACAUAAAUCAGAUUUUAUGUUCAACAUAUGAACAAUCUGAUUUUUAGGACAAGUAUCUCAUGCUUUCCUUUUCUCCUCUCUUCCUUUCUAUUUUUCUCUCCCUUUUUCUUUCUAUUUUUACCUUAGA